GAUUAGAUAUUUUAAAUAAAAAGUAAGUUUUGUAAACUUAAAUUGGAUUAAACUCCUCUAAUCU
rnacentral:tRNA from 1 species